AGCAAUCUGCCUUGGAGUCGGGAAUAACGGUUGGAAACAGCCGCUAAUACCGCAUGAUGCGUCUGGGAGGCAUCUCUCUGGACGCCAAAGAUUUAUCGCUCUGAGAUGAGCUCGCGUCUGAUUAGCUUGUUGGCGGGGUAAAGGCCCACCAAGGCGACGAUCAGUAGCCGGACUGAGAGGUUGGCCGGCCACAUUGGGACUGAGACACGGCCCAGACUCCUACGGGAGGCAGCAG
rnacentral:rRNA from 1 species